UUAGAUUUGAUUUUUGAUUAUAUUUGUAUGAGGUUUGUUAGAGCCUAACAGAAUUUAUAUUUGCAAGGUUGACUAUAUUUUCGCCACACAAACGUGGUGCGAGUGCCACGUGUGCGUGGCUGGUUAAAUUGAACACGGUGAACCAUUUACUGUGUUUGGACAUAGUGAAUGGUUUACCGUAUCCUUUCUAUAUUUUACUUAAAUCGUGUCUUUUUCACAUUCACUGUAUUUAUUGUAUUAAACACUGUAUAAGUUAAAUACAUUGAACCAUUUAUUAUGUCCAAAUAUGGUGAAUAAUUCAUCAUAUUCAACUCAAAUUUUGGACUGCCAAUUAUGCUCACGUGGCGCUUGCGUGGUAGAAAUAGGACCAAUCUUAUAAAUAUAAAUUUUAUAGGACUGUUUGUAAAACAAUAUGACU
rnacentral:lncRNA from 1 species